UAAAACGGAUGUAGCUGAUACAGUUGGUCACUUUCUGGCUGUUGUUUCUUCCUUCUUGACCUCUUCUGCUUUGGCAGAAAGGUGAAGAUCACAGUUCAUCCACAAUACAGUGGUAUAAACUGAGCCAGAGUGCAGUUUCAGAUGCUGGCAGUGAUCCCCAUUGGGACCAAUAGCCAUUAUGACUUUGAGGUCAAGAUAACAGCCCAGAUGUGCAGUUAGCCAGACCAGCAGGAAAACCCAAAGAAUCCAGUGUGAUUUUCUGGAAUUUGAAUUGAAGAAAACUAACUGGAGAUGUACAAAAAGUAUAGGAUUUUGCAGCCAUGAACAAAGCCUGGAUGAAAGCUAUCACUAUCCAACCUGCCCCCUUUGGGAAAGAGAACAAGACACAACUGGGUUACAAUUUAGAAACAACUGUAAUGCCAGAGAAACUGAGGCAUGAUAGAGAUUAGAGAGUUUUUUAAAAAAUAUUUUAUUAAAUGGAGAGCAUAAUUGACUGGACAGGACUUUCAUCUCAAAGUAUCCAGCAAUAAAUGGGAAAAUCCCAAAUCCUUAUAUACCUUUUACAAACAAAGCAGGAAACUUCUUCACAGACCCAUUUGGUUCUGUCAGGAUGGGGGGAGGCCAUAAAUUCUUACUAAAAGCCAGAGUCAGGAUGUUUGAAUAAACAGAAGUAAAGAUGUCAAUGAGGUAUCUGGGAUAGUCUUAUCUUUUGGAAUAUUUUAGAGGGAUGGUGUCUUAAAUUCUUGAGGACAGAAGGAGUUAGAAGUCAGGAAAUCUGAUCUCUCCCUUAUCUUGAGUCAUAUAUUGACAAUUUAUAACCUUAAAGCAAAUGGUCCUCUGUCUUAAUGGACCAGAGUGGGGGGUUUACAACUAAGGGGAUUGAGGCAGAACAGUUAAGGGAACUGAGAUAGAACAAUUCAGGGAAACUCAGUCAGGACAAUGAGGGAAACUAGUACAGGGAAACUGAGGUAGAACAGUUCAAAGAGACUGUGGCAUAACACAACAAUGAAGAUAAUGAAAAUGAAGAUAACAAAGAAAAAAAAGGAAUAUCCUCUUGCCCCCCCCCCCCAAAAAAAAAAAAAGACAUUAUUUUUUCACUAUUGAUGAAGCUGGAGAAACUAUAAGCUGAAAACUGAAACAGGAGAAAUCCACACUAGGUAUUAUAAUGUUAUCACUCGUGGAUAAUAACUGCAGUUCUGUGUUUCUCAGUACAACUCAGGCAAAGAUAGAAUAUAAGGCAAGUUAAUUUUAGUCUUUCAUUUAAUAUUUUUUAUGCAUGUUGGAAAGAAGAUUCUAAGGAUGGGAUUCUAAGGAUAAGUUCUAACUAGAUACAUCAAUUCUUUCUUGUAGGGGAACUUGAGCUUCAUUCAUUCAAUCAGCAAAUUCCCAGAUUCGUUUAUUUAUUUAGAUUUUUUUGGACUAAACAAAAGAGGAGAUUCUUUGCUUCAAUUGCUACCUAUCCUUAAUCACUGAAUGUGUGUGGCCUUAGUCAAACUGAGACCUGUUGAAGACCUUAACUUAAAAAGGCCAAUGUCUCCCAUUGUAUCAAGGGCCAUAUCCAGUCAUCUUGAUCUAUAUUUUACCACUGGAUCCAAAUGGCUUUGGAGGGGAAGGUGAGGCAGAUGACCUUGCACAGCCUUUCUAACUUAAAUCCAAUUCAUUUGCAUGUCAUGGCAUCACUUCCUUGAUAUCAUAGUCCUCUUCAAAAACGAAGGACAAACAACAACCUUUGAGAUAAGAUCUGUUUUAUUCUUGUUUUUGUAUCAUCAUUGUCUAGCACAAAUCUUGGAACAUAGCAGACACUUAACAAAUGCUUGUAGAUUAUUUACUAAACACCCACUGUGUGCUAAACUUAAUGGGAAAUACAAAAUUUAGCAGUUACAGCCCGAUACAGGGUAAGACACAAACACAAAUAAUUAUGUAAAGCAGGUUUCCACUGAAGACUCAGGGUGAGGUUUCUAUUGAUUUAGUCUUUUUAAUUCACAAGAUUACAUUAGAGAGGUGCAAAAUGAAAUCUGAGAUAUGACGAUCCUUCUAACCCUGACCAGGCUUCCUUAAGAAGAGAGCUUUAAAAUUCAAUUUGAAAGAAUAAGUACCAAGUCAACAGACUAAAAAGGAGGAGGAAAGGAGUUGUUAGAACAGGUAGUUUAGAAAGGUUCAUCAAUCAAUCCACCAGUAAGCAUUUUUUUAAGCUCCUAAAAUGUGCCAAGCAGGGUACUAGACGUUGGGUAUAUACAAAGACAAAAAUGAAAUCGUCCCUGACUUCUAUAAACUAAAUUCCUCCAGAAGUUGAAGUGAAGGAACAAUGUCUACACAUUCGCUGAGCAGUCUAUCUAGAAAAAAGUUACAAAAUAACGUGGGCAGAAAAAAGGCAUUAAUCAGUCUCCGAAAAUCACUAGUUUCUAGUUUCCAACUCAGGCCUUCUCUGGGCUCCUCUGUCCAAUGGUGUUCUCUCUCCGUCUAUUUCCCCUUUUAUCUACCUCACCCCAACCCCGCACUGAUAGGAAUCGCUUUAUUUUCUCCCGAGUCUUUACUUGGGAUUGAACCCUGAACUUCUUCAAGAGCUCUUUGAUAUCCUCAGUGUUUGUUUUCUGGCAAGUUGUCUUCAGUUGCCUUCUCGUAACAGUUGGACUUCAGUUCCUGGCACAAGCGCUUUGGGGUCUACACGCUCCCACUGGCAGCGCACUCAUAGUUGUUACCCCGAGCAGCGCCACUGCAAUUCAAGUGACUGACGCCACUGUAACAGCCAAGGUGAUUUGACUGCCUAUCACCGUGCGGCAGCACAUCGCCAUUCAGUCACAUCAUCCUGGCUUAGUCUGGUAGGAUAUGUUCCCCAAAGAGUCCCUCUGGUCCUGGGCACAAGAGCCAGUCACCACCUUCCACCCUCCCUCCCUCCCUCCCCCUCCACCCUGCCUGAGAGCUCAGGAAGUAGCCCAGAGGGAAGAGGAUCAAGGCUGGAACUAGAAAGAAGACAAGUGGGACAGGUUCCAAGUAGCACUGCAGGGACAUUGGAACACCACCUUGGAGAAGAGGCUCUCCCCACCAGUUGUUAAGAAGCUCAAAAACCCCAUUCCCAACACCCUGUGGUGUUUGAUGCACAGGUCCAGAAAACAUGAAAUUUUUCCAUGACUUUUCUCUUUUGUCUUUCUCCUCACACCUGGACCAAUGAAGCAGAUGUGGGUUGCCUCUGCCUGGUUUCCUCAGCCCGAUCCGGACUUUAUUACUAGGGAAAGGAAAUGAGGGAAGGCAUGUGUUUAGGAAAAAUGGUAUUCUACUGUUUAUUAAAGGAAGUAUUCUGUAA